rnacentral:rRNA from 1 species
GAUGAACGCUGGCGGCGUGCUUAACACAUGCAAGUCGAACGAUGAAGCUCAGCUUGCUGGGUGGAUUAGUGGCGAACGGGUGAGUAACACGUGAGUAACCUGCCCUUAACUCUGGGAUAAGCCUGGGAAACUAGGUCUAAUACCGGAUAGGAGCGCCUACCGCAUGGUGGGUGUUGGAAAGAUUUAUCGGUUUUGGAUGGACUCGCGGCCUAUCAGCUUGUUGGUGAGGUAAUGGCUCACCAAGGCGACGACGGGUAGCCGGCCUGAGAGGGUGACCGGCCACACUGGGACUGAGACACGGCCCAGACUCCUACGGGAGGCAGCAGUGGGGAAUAUUGCACAAUGGGCGAAAGCCUGAUGCAGCGACACCGCGUGAGGGAUGACGGCCUUCGGGUUGUAAACCUCUUUCAGUAGGGAAGAAGCGAAAGUGACGGUACCUGCAGAAGAAGCACCGGCUAACUACGUG